rnacentral:rRNA from 1 species
CCUACGGGAGGCAGCAGUGGGGAAUAUUGGACAGUGGGCGCAAGCCUGAUCCAGCAAUGCCGCGUGUGUGAAGAAGGCCUUCGGGUUGUAAAGCACUUCUAUCGGGAGCGAAAUACCAUUGGCUAAUAACCGGUGGGGCUGACGGUACCCGAGGAAUAAGCACCGGCUAACUUCGUGCCAGCAGCCGCGGUAAU